GUCACGUCCAAUAAAUAGUCUUAAUUACCCUUGUGCCUUUUCCUCUUCUUUCGUUCUUCAGUACGCCUUUUCCUCUUCUUCUGUUCUUUAACUUAAUGAGUUACGGCUUUUCCAUUGCCAAAAAAAAAAAGUUACGCCUUUUCAUCUUCGUUGAGUCUAUUUUACUGCAGAAGGCCGCACUAUGAAAGGGACGAUUUGUGCUUUCCCUGUUUGCUUGGUUGUCAAGAUAAAAAAUCUGAUAAAUCUCUAAAUUGUGGAUUUUGUUUUAAGAGAUCUUAUAGUUACAUUUUUUUCAAUAUAUAGUAUGCGAAUUGGCUAGAAAAAGUUCAUUAUCCCUCAUACACUCUAAUGCUGAACUAUCAACAAAGAAUUUGCUUACAUCAAGGUGAACUUCAAUUUUGCCGCUCCGAGUUCAUCUUUAGGUUUUACCGAAACCAAGAGCAGAAGUGGAGCAGUUUUAGCUGAUUAGAGUAGGAAAGGAAAAAUAAAAAAAAAGCCCGGCGUAACAUAUGUAUACAACAUGAAGGACAAGGAAAUCAAAUGGAACCUUUGGGUCUAAUGCCAUGUGUUACCCUAUAAGGUUUAAGUUGUAAAGAUGGAUUUCUUUGAUGAAAAGGAAGUAUACAUUGAUAAAGUGCUUCUGAUGAUUGUUACUUCAUA